GUGGUGCAUGGCUGUCGUCAGCUCGUGUCGUGAGAUGUUGGGUUAAGUCCCGCAACGAGCGCAACCCUCGUUUUUAGUUGCCAAUUUAUUGGGUUUUCUAGAGAGACUGCCGGUGACAAACCGGAGGAAGGUGAGGAUGACGUCAAGUCAGCAUGCCCCUUAUGUCCUGGGCCACACACGUGCUACAAUGGCGGAGACAAAGAGUCGCAAACCUGCGAAGGCUAGCUAAUCUCAUAAACUUCGUCUAAGUUCGGAUUGUAGGCUGCAACUCGCCUACAUGAAGUUGGAAUCGCUAGUAAUCGCGGAACAGCAUGCCGCGGUGAAUACGUUCCCGGGCCUUGUACACACCGCCCGUCA
rnacentral:rRNA from 1 species